GGCGGCGGCGGCGGCGCCUCCCUUGUCCCUCCCAUCCCACUUGGCGGCCCCGCUCAAUUCUGGCUCUCCCCAACAGCCGCUCCGCUCCAAAAUGUUUCUAAGACCUAAACUUCUUGGGAAUAAGGAUGACAAGUAUAAUUAUUAAAGCUGCUUAGUAAAAAGACAAAAUGGAGAAAACUCUGGAUGAUCCAAAAGAAGAGGAGGAAAGAAAGAAAAAUAGUUGUAGCAAAGCAGCUAACAGUGAAAACACAAAGACAAUUUUGGGGAUGACUUGCAAUCAGACGUGGUGAAAAUCAAAGAAAUGACAAGUCAGGCUAAAGCAGGUAGUAUGAAAAACGUAUUCAUGUAUUUAAAAUACGUAUAUGGUACUUAUCAUACCAUAUACAACAUUAAAUAGUUGAACUUUCUUUUUAAAUUAUAAUAAAACAUAUAAAACAA